CUCGAAGGAACGCAGACUAAGAACGCCACGUCCAGUGGCAACGUCUGCAUGACCCCCAUCCUGGGGG
rfam:Bacillus sp. 2_A_57_CT2 genomic scaffold supercont1.2, whole genome shotgun sequence.